AGAGGACACUCCAACUGCUUUGAGGAGUGCUAGCUCGGCUUCGAGAAUUUUGGCGUCAUACGUGAACGCCACUGACAGGAUUCAGGUUCGGGAUAGCGACUUCGGUGGGUGUUGAAUUCGCGGAGGGCGAUGAGAUAAUGCAUACGGCGACAGUACCCGUCUUCAACCCAACCUCACCGCCAGGAACGCUCGAAGGAUUCAACCUCCUUGCUGUCCACGCCCUGCGAAUACUGGGUUCGUGCGUGAAGGGUUCCGAAGCAAUAAAGAACAUGUUUGUGCAUU